rnacentral:rRNA from 1 species
UACGUAGGGGGCUAGCGUUGUCCGGAAUCAUUGGGCGUAAAGCGCGUGUAGGCGGUUCGGUAAGUCCGCUGUGAAAGUCGGGGGCUCAACCCUCGAAUGCCGGUGGAUACUGUCGAACUAGAGUGCGGAAGAGGCGAGUGGAAUUCCUGGUGUAGCGGUGAAAUGCGCAGAUAUCAGGAGGAACACCAAUUGCGAAGGCAGCUCGCUGGGACGUAACUGACGCUGAGACGCGAAAGCGUGGGGGAGCAAACAGG